rnacentral:lncRNA from 1 species
AAAAUAAAGUUUAAUCACAAAAAUAAUUAAUUCUCAAUAAAUAAGAACGUAAACUCUAAUAAUAAACUUCCACAAACAUGACAUCAACAGGUAAAUUCAAAGAAAUAAAUAAAUAAAACAACUUAUGUGAGUGUCAUUUAGUUAAAAUAAUAAAAUUCCUUUAACUAAAAAAAAAUGUAUCAUUUGACUUAUAAUUAUUGAGAUGAUAAUUUUCUAUCAAAUGGUGUUUCUUUUUUUUUUUUUUUCAAUAGGUUGAUUGCUCAUAAAUUUCAGGUUGGAGGAUCAAUGUCAAUAAAUCUCAUCAAAAUAAAAAAUGAAGUAUUAUUUAUGCUACAUUAUCAAUAUAGCACACAAAAUGUUAAUUUUAUUUAUAAUAACUAAUAAGGCUUUAUAAUUUUUGUCACAAUAAUAUUUUAUCAGUGGAAAUAUCAUUUCUCAUAAUUAUUAAUUAUUUCCUUCCAAUGGGCUAGGUAACUUUGCCCUCAAAAACCAUCUCAUCAUUAUUACUAUAAUUUUCCUUGAUUCAAAUAUGAAAACAACAAUAUAGAUUUGGUGUUUAUCUUAUUACUAUUAGAAACAUAAAAGCGGUAAUUACGUAAGUAUAAUAUGAGUUCAUAAAUUUUAAAAAAAAUAUUUCAUUUCAUCAAACACUAAUUUCAUCUCAUUUAAUUAUUUACAAUAGUAUUUAUUUAAUGCAUAUUUGUUUUUACAUGUUGCUUUCAUUUUUUAACUGUUAACAAUUGAUCACGCUCUGAACAAUUUAAUAAUGACCUUUCACUUAUUUAUUUUUAUUUUCAUUUAUUUCAAUUGACAAGUUUGAGUGUUGGAGUUUUGUUCAUAGUCCAUGGGUAAAGCAUAUACAAUCCAUAAUGAAAUGAUUUUUUAUAUAAAUACACAUUUAACCCAUUUAUACAACUACCUCUACGCUCCAAACGACAACCCGACAAGAGUGGGCACAGGCCAUCACAAGCACUCGACCGCGUGGGACCCGCGCGUUAGACACAAAACGUGUGACACGUGCGGGCCCACCCACCCGUCAGAGACACAACGCACACGUUCAACGCCAACAUCAAGGCACGUAGACAGCUCAACUCGAACGACCAAGACAUCAUUAUCCAUCAAUCAAAAAGUUGAAAAAAAGGCCGAAAACUUCACGGGGCUUUUGAGUUCCGGAAAUUAAUAGACACCCUUCAAGUCCGUGAAAUGGUGCCUCGCAACGUGGCAGUUGGGCCUCUGUUCCGAGACUUCAACGGGGCGCGGCCUUGUCGUGCGCCCAGGGAACAGAGUCCAUUGUUGCCUUGGCUUUAAACUGUUGUGGUGGGUGCCGCCAUAAUUUGAUACACCGACAACAUUAUAAAUUUCCACGCCAGCCCUGCUGCUUUACUGACACGUCAAACUCCAGAUUUGAAAAAUAACCUUAUAAACAGCGGGUCUUGCCAAUUUACAUAUACAUAUUCAAAGCCUGCUUGGACCACGUAAGUCCAUGAUUAAAGUUACAAGACAAAAUUAAAACGAAGAACGAUACUUUAUACCUGUUUAGAAGCCAUUGGAUAUUUUCGUCAUAUUUGAUAAAAGUUACAAGACAAAAUUAAAAAGAAAAAUGAUACUUUAUACCUGUUUAGAAGCCAUCGGAUAUAUUGGUCAUAUUCAAAACCUGUUUUAACCACGUAAGUCCAUGAUAAAAGUUUAAAAUACCUUUUGUGGAAAGGAUAAGUAUGAUAUUUUUUAAUAAAUAAAUAAAUUUAUUUAGUAAAUAGAUUAGGUGAAUAAUUUAGUGAGUUUAAAUAAUUUUGAUUAAUUUAUACAUAAAGAGUGAAGCUAUUGGCACCUUUCAUUAUUCUUAUAAAUCUCCACUUUAAAUAAAAUUACAUUGAAGGACAAAUAAUAAUUAAACACAUUUAAGAAUUUUCGUAAUAAAUUACUUUCAUAAUCAAUUCUUUUUUUUUUUGCAUUCAUAAUCAAUUCUUUUUUUCUUUUUAUUUUCUACUUGCCACUUCUCUCUAAUUAAAAUAAAUUACAAAAAUUUAUAAUAAUUUAUUUUUCUUUUCUUAUUUCUUAAUAAUUGAGAAUUUUUAUACCUAUUACUUUCAAAUUAUAAUUUAAAAUGUGUCAUAUCUAUAACAUAAUACUGUUUUGAGUUUUAAUAAUAUACAAAUUCAAUUAAAAAAAUAAAAUAAUGUAUUUAAAAGGAGAAAAAAGGACGUUUUUGAAAUUAAAUACAAAUAUUCCAAUUGUUACUGUGAAAAUGUGAUAUUUUCAGCACUAGAGCUACCACUUUAUUGCUUAUCCGACCCGAAAGGAACUGAUGUGGUCCAACCGUGGUCGGAUCGGAUUAUGUCUCCAUAAGAAAGGCUGUCAAUUAUGUCUCCAUAAGAAAGACGUCACAUAGAUGAUGUAAUCAGAUUUUAUCAUGCGUUUGUUCCCCUUCAAACGUCACAUAGAUGAUGUAAUCAGAUUUUUAUCAUGCGUUUCUUCCUCUUCAAUCGAGUACUUGUCACAUCCUGAGUGUUUGUGAAUCUACAUUUUUUUAAGGGCAUGUGUACAGUAGUAAGAAACAAGUUAAAAAAUAAUAAAAACACACAUUUUGAUGUUGUUAUCUUUAUCUUAAAGUAUUAAAAUCUAUAUUUCUUUUAAUCUUUUAACUUGUCUUUUACGAUAUUAAAAUAAGAAAAUCCUUACUAAAAAGUAAAAGGGGACUUGUCAUGUGCACAAAGUACAAUAUGUUUCAAAUGUUACUUGAUAGAAAUUACUGAAAGCAUUGUAUCAUUGGAAAACUCUGCUGCAUGCUACUAAUUUGACAGUUUAUCAAAUAUUUUUUUGCCGCUCGCUACUUAUGAAUCACGUUUAGUCCCCUUUGAAUUGUGUGCAUCCACCAUCUGUUAAAUUUAUCUUUGAAUUUUCUCGCUUCCAUAAGGGACACAAAUAAGAAACAGACAAGGAUGUUCAAAUCCCCGAGUUGUAAAAUUUACAAGAUGCAUCGGGUAGAAAAACCUCGUAGAAACCUUAGCUGAUGAACUCUGUAAAGAAUAUCCUCAUUCAUUCAGCUAACCCGUUGAACCAAAAUGCAAAAUCAUCCUCGAUAAGUACAAGAAACAAAAACUUUACAAGAAUAACUUAUGAACUUGAUAAAUUUCUGAGGAGACUAUAGAGAUGGCUAAUGGGCCGAGCGGCACAAGGUACGGCACGGGCACAACACGUGUCUGUACAGCACGGCACAACACGAGCACGUUUCGGUAGGGCACGAGGGGCAUGGCAUGACACGCACAUGGGCUGUGCUGGGCCUAGAAUUUUAGGCACGCGGGCUUUAAAAGCACGACAUGAUUAGAGAUGGGCCAAAGCACGGCACUCGAAAAGGCACGUAAUAAACACGCUUCAUUAGUGGGCUAAGCACGCGGCCCGUGGGCCACUAAUAGCACAUGGGCAAAAGUAUAUCAAAAUAAAUUUUUUUAAUGAAAAAUAAAUAUAAAAU